GACGAACGCUGGCGGCGUGCUUAACACAUGCAAGUCGAACGGAAAGGCCCUGCUUUUGUGGGGUGCUCGAGUGGCGAACGGGUGAGUAACACGUGAGUAACCUGCCCCUGACUUUGGGAUAACUUCAGGAAACUGGGGCUAAUACCGGAUAGGAGCUCCUGCUGCAUGGUGGGGGUUGGAAAGUUUCGGCGUUUGGGGAUGGACUCGCGGCUUAUCAUCUUGUUGGUCGGGUAGUGGCUUACCAAGGCUUUCACGGGUAGCCGGCCUGAGAGGAUGACCAGCCACAUUGGAACUGAGAUACGACACAGACUACUACAGGAGGCAGCAGUAGAGAAUAUUGCAGAAUGAGCGCAAGCCUGAGGAAGAAACGCUGCGUGCGGGAUAACGGCCUUCUGGUUGUAAACCGCUUUCGCCUGUGAUGAUGCGUGAGUGACGGUAAUGGGUAAAGAAGCACCGGCUAACUACGUG
rnacentral:rRNA from 1 species